UUUUGUGGGGUGCUCGAGUGGCGAACGGGUGAGUAACACGUGAGUAACCUGCCCUUGACUUUGGGAUAACUUCAGGAAACUUGGGCUAAUACCGGAUAGGAGCUCCUGCUGCAUUGUGGGGUUGGAAAGUUUCGGCGGUUGGGAUGGACUCGCGGCUUAUCAGCUUGUUGGUGGGGUAGUGGCUUACCAAGGCUUUGACGGGUAGCCGGCCUGAGAGGGUGACCGGCCACAUUGGGACUGAGAUACGGCCCAG
rnacentral:rRNA from 1 species